rnacentral:rRNA from 1 species
UACGUAGGGUGCAAGCGUUGUCCGGAAUUAUUGGGCGUAAAGAGCUCGUAGGCGGUCUGUCGCGUCGGCUGUGAAAACCCGGGGCUCAACCCCGGGCCUGCAGUCGAUACGGGCAGACUAGAGUGCGGUAGGGGAGACUGGAAUUCCUGGUGUAGCGGUGAAAUGCGCAGAUAUCAGGAGGAACACCGGUGGCGAAGGCGGGUCUCUGGGACGGUACUGACGCUGAGACGCGAAAGCGUGGGGAGCGAACAGG